rnacentral:rRNA from 1 species
UGGGGAAUAUUGCGCAAUGGGGGAAACCCUGACGCAGCCAUGCCGCGUGAGUGAAGAAGGUCUUCGGAUCGUAAAGCUCUUUCAACGGUGAAGAUGAUGACGGUAGCCCUAGAAGAAGCCCCGGCUAACUUCGUGCCAGCAGCCGCGGUAAUACGGAGGGGGCUAGCGUUGUUCGGAAUUACUGGGCGUAAAGCGCGCGUAGGCGGACUGAUCAGUCAGGGGUGAAAUCCCGGGGCUCAACCCCGGAACUGCCUCCAAAACUAUUGGUCUAGAGUUCGAGAGAGGUGAGUGGAAUUCCAAGUGUAGAGGUGAAAUUCGUAGAUAUUUGGAGGAACACCAGUGGCGAAGGCGGCUCACUGGCUCGAUACUGACGCUGAGGUGCGAAAGUGUGGGGAGCAAACAGGAUUAGAUACCCUGGUAGUCCACACCGUAAACGAUGAAUGCCAGUCGUCGGGUAGCAUGCUAUUCGGUGACACACCUAACGGAUUAAGCAUUCCGCCUGGGAGUACGGUCGCAAGAUUAAAAGCUCAAAUGAAUUGA